rnacentral:rRNA from 1 species
GGAAAGGCGCGCGAUACAGGGUGACAGCCCCGUACACAAAAAUGCACAUGCUGUGAGCUCGAUGAGUAGGGCGGGACACGUGGUAUCCUGUCUGAAUAUGGGGGGACCAUCCUCCAAGGCUAAAUACUCCUGACUGACCGAUAGUGAACCAGUACCGUGAGGGAAAGGCGAAAAGAACCCCGGCGAGGGGAGUGAAAAAGAACCUGAAACCGUGUACGUACAAGCAGUGGGAGCACGCUUAGGCGUGUGACUGCGUACCUUUUGUAUAAUGGGUCAGCGACUUAUAUUCUGUAGCAAGGUUAACCGAAUAGGGGAGCCGAAGGGAAACCGAGUCUUAACUGGGCGUUAAGUUGCAGGGUAUAGACCCGAAACCCGGUGAUCUAGCCAUGGGCAGGUUGAAGGUUGGGUAACACUAACUGGAGGACCGAACCGACUAAUGUUGAAAAAUUAGCGGAUGACUUGUGGCUGGGGGUGAAAGGCCAAUCAAACCGGGAGAUAGCUGGUUCUCCCCGAAAGCUAUUUAGGUAGCGCCUCGUGAAUUCAUCUCCGGGGGUAGAGCACUGUUUCGGCAAGGGGGUCAUCCCGACUUACCAACCCGAUGCAAACUGCGAAUACCGGAGAAUGUUAUCACGGGAGACACACGGCGGGUGCUAACGUCCGUCGUGAAGAGGGAAACAACCCAGACCGCCAGCUAAGGUCCCAAAGUCAUGGUUAAGUGGGAAACGAUGUGGGAAGGCCCAGACAGCCAGGAUGUUGGCUUAGAAGCAGCCAUCAUUUAAAGAAAGCGUAAUAGCUCACUGGUCGAGUCGGCCUGCGCGGAAGAUGUAACGGGGCUAAACCAUGCACCGAAGCUGCGGCAGCGACGCUGAUGCGUUGUUGGGUAGGGGAGCGUUCUGUAAGCCUGCGAAGGUGUGCUGUGAGGCAUGCUGGAGGUAUCAGAAGUGCGAAUGCUGACAUAAGUAACGAUAAAGCGGGUGAAAAGCCCGCUCGCCGGAAGACCAAGGGUUCCUGUCCAACGUUAAUCGGGGCAGGGUGAGUCGACCCCUAAGGCGAGGCCGAAAGGCGUAGUCGAUGGGAAACAGGUUAAUAUUCCUGUACUUGGUGUUACUGCGAAGGGGGGACGGAGAAGGCUAUGUUGGCCGGGCGACGGUUGUCCCGGUUUAAGCGUGUAGGCUGGUUUUCCAGGCAAAUCCGGAAAAUCAAGGCUGAGGCGUGAUGACGAGGCACUGCGGUGCUGAAGCAACAAAUGCCCUGCUUCCAGGAAAAGCCUCUAAGCAUCAGGUAACAUCAAAUCGUACCCCAAACCGACACAGGUGGUCAGGUAGAGAAUACCAAGGCGCUUGAGAGAACUCGGGUGAAGGAACUAGGCAAAAUGGUGCCGUAACUUCGGGAGAAGGCACGCUGAUAUGUAGGUGAAGUCCCUCGCGGAUGGAGCUGAAAUCAGUCGAAGAUACCAGCUGGCUGCAACUGUUUAUUAAAAACACAGCACUGUGCAAACACGAAAGUGGACGUAUACGGUGUGACGCCUGCCCGGUGCCGGAAGGUUAAUUGAUGGGGU